GGGUAUGAGGUUGAUCUGGCUGUGAAAUCUGUUACUACAUUAAUCUCUGGGGUUGAUUUGACUGAUCUGGCUGGCUAGGAGGGUGUCCCCUACCUCCCUCAUGGCUCCACAUCUGUCCCUCCUGAAGCUCUACACUUAGAAGGUAAAGAGGACAGCCUCUGAAGUGUAGGAGGAUGACUUUCUGCUAUAGAGGGUCCCUAGUCAAGGGUAGCGACACUCCCCUGACAGAACCUCCAAACAAAUACAAAGGGUGUCAAAACCACUGUGCAAAUCAUAGUCUAAUGAGCCAAGGUCUCUUGAGAACACAAGGCCUUUGUUA
rnacentral:snRNA from 1 species